CGGAGGGAGGGCGGGGGGAACUCAAGGCCUGCUUGAUACGUCCGCCAUUUUGGGCGCUUCGCUGAUGGUGUCGGUGAGCGCGUUUCCCGCCUGAGCGCAACUAGCGGCGGGUCGCGGGCACCUCCAGGAGAGCUUCUGUUUUGCUUCCACAUCCCACUUUACCUCUGGCUAGUCUGCUAAUGCAGUGAAUUGGAAGACAACUGUUACCAGCAUAACCUGUAAUGGGCAAGGAGCCACAGAGAAGAAAACAUUUCUUUUAAUUUUUAAACUUGGUUGAAAGGAGCUGCAUAAAAAUAGGUGGCAGACCAGAUUUGGCAACUUCAGUACUGUACCCCCAGGUCCCAGGUCUCUGGAGUUGGCUCACAUGCUGAUGGCAGAAAGAAUGAAGUGAAAAAAAGGACCUAAAUGUGAAAAAGACCAGCAUGUUUUGGAAAUUUGAUCUUCAUUCAUCAUCCCACAUAGACACACUUCUAGAAAGAGAAGAUGUAACACUGAAGGAGUUAAUGGAUGAGGAAGAUGUUUUACAGGAAUGUAAAGCUCAGAACCGCAAACUUAUAGAGUUUCUGUUAAAAGCAGAAUGUCUCGAAGAUUUAGUCUCAUUCAUUAUAGAAGAACCACCUCAAGACAUGGAUGAAAAGAUCAGAUACAAGUACCCAAAUAUAUCUUGUGAGUUGCUCACUUCUGAUGUCUCCCAGAUGAACGAUAGGUUGGGGGAAGACGAGUCCUUGCUCAUGAGGUUAUAUAGCUUCCUCCUAAACGACUCCCCCUUGAACCCGCUACUUGCCAGUUUCUUCAGCAAGGUGCUCAGUAUUCUUAUCAGCAGAAAACCAGAACAGAUUGUGGAUUUCUUAAAGAAGAAACGUGAUUUUGUAGACCUUAUAAUAAAGCACAUAGGAACUUCGGCCAUCAUGGAUUUGUUGCUCAGGCUCCUGACAUGCAUCGAGCCUCCACAGCCCAGGCAAGAUGUGCUGAAUUGGUUAAAUGAGGAGCAAAUUAUCCAGAGACUUGUGGAAAUAGUUCAUCCAUCGCAAGAAGAAGAUCGGCAUUCAAAUGCUUCACAGUCACUUUGUGAAAUUGUUCGCCUGAGCAGAGACCAGAUGUUACAAAUUCAGAACAGUACAGAACCAGAUCCCCUGCUUGCCACUCUAGAAAAGCAAGAAAUUAUAGAGCAGCUUCUAUCAAAUAUUUUCCACAAGGAGAAAAAUGAAUCAGCCAUAGUCAGUGCAAUCCAGAUACUGCUGACUUUACUUGAGACACGGCGGCCCACAUUUGAAGGCCAUAUAGAGAUCUGCCCACCAGGCAUGAGUCAUUCAGCUUGUUCGGUCAACAAGAGUGUUCUAGAAGCUAUCCGAGGAAGACUUGGAUCUUUUCAUGAACUCCUGCUUGAGCCACCCAAGAAAAGUGUGAUGAAGACCACGUGGGGUGUGCUGGACCCUCCGGUGGGAAAUACCCGAUUGAAUGUGAUCAGGUUGAUAUCCAGCCUCCUUCAGACAAACACCAGCAGUAUCAAUGGGGACCUCAUGGAGCUGAAUAGCAUUGGGGUUAUAUUGGACAUGUUCUUCAAAUACACAUGGAAUAACUUUUUACAUACACAAGUGGAAAUCUGUAUUGCACUGAUCCUUGCAAGUCCUUUUGAAAAUACAGAAAAUAGCACAAUUACUGAUCAAGACUCCACUGGUGACAAUUUGUUACUGAAACAUCUUUUUCAAAAAUGUCAGCUAAUAGAACGGAUACUUGAUGCCUGGGAAAUGAAUGAGAAGAAACAGGCUGAGGGAGGCAGACGGCAUGGCUACAUGGGACACCUGACAAGGAUAGCUAACUGUAUUGUGCACAGCACUGAUAAAGGCCCCAACAGUGUGUUAGUCCAGCAGCUUAUCAAAGACCUUCCAGACACAAUCAGGGAGCGAUGGGAGGCGUUCUGCGCAAGCUCCUUGGGAGAAACUAACAAGAGGAACACGGUAGAUCUAGUUACAACCUGCCAUAUUCAUUCAUCCAGUGAUGAUGAAAUUGACUUUAAAGAAACGGGUUUCUCACAGGAUUCUUCUUUGCAGCAAGCCUUUUCUGAUUAUCAGAUGCAACAAAUGACGUCCAAUUUUAUUGACCAGUUUGGCUUCAACGAUGAGAAGUUUGCAGAUCAAGAUGACAUUGGCAAUGUUUCUUUCGAUCGGGUAUCAGACAUCAACUUUACUCUGAAUACAAAUGAAAGUGGAAAUAUUGCCUUGUUUGAAGCAUGUUGUAAGGAAAGAAUACAGCAGUUUGAUGAUGGUGGCUCUGAUGAGGAAGACAUCUGGGAGGAAAAGCACAUUGCCUUUACACCAGAAUCCCAAAGACGAUCCAGCUCGGGGAGUACAGACAGUGAAGAAAGUACAGACUCUGAAGAAGAAGACGGAGCAAAACAAGAUUUGUUUGAACCCAGUAGCACCAGUACAGAGGACAAAAUGGAGGUAGACUUGAAUGAACCACCCAACUGGUCAGCCAACUUUGAUGUCCCCAUGGAGACAACUCAUGGUGCUCCCUUAGAUUCCGUGGGUUCUGAUGUCUGGAGCACAGAGGAGCCGGUGCCAACUAAGGAGACGGGCUGGGCCUCCUUCUCAGAGUUCACAUCUUCCCUGAGUACAAAAGAUUCUUUAAGGAGUAAUUCUCCAGUGGAAAUGGAAACCAGCACUGAGCCGAUGGGCCCUCUGACUCCCAGCGUUGGCACGCUGGCUGCGCAGCCUGAAGCGCCAGCCAGUGUAGCCAUGGAAGCCAGCUCUGACGGAGAGGAGGAUACAGAAAGUACAGACAAGGUAACUGAGACAGUGAUGAAUGGCGGCAUGAAGGAAACUCUGAGCCUCACUGUAGAUGCCAAGACAGAGACCGCAGUUUUCAAAAGAGUGUUGAAAUCCUAUCGUGAGGAAGGAAAACUGUCUACCUCUCAAGAUGCUGCUUGUAAAGAUGUUGAGGAGAGCCCUGAGACAGCAGAGGUGAAGUCUGUGGGCCCCCGGCCCCCCAACAGUAACCCAGAGCAGAGUCACCUAUUGCUUAGACUGAGCCAGUGGUCUGAAGGGAUAGGCCAAGCCAAAGCCUCAGCCUCCGAGGGCCGGCGCCCUGGCCCAUACACACGGCCUCGCAGGUAGAGCAAGGGCGGCCUCCGAUUGCUCCAGAGCUCGCGCCAGAAGAUGAGGAUUUGCCCUUGGACCACAAGGAACUUUGCUCAGCACUUCCCAGAGUUAACUUUUCUUGUUAUAUAUACCUAAGUUUGUACAUUCCUUGCAUAAGGAAUAAAGUAAUCUUUAAAGCCAUUUCAGAAAAGCUGUCUUUCCCCCUCACCAGAUCCUCACCCCCAAAAUCAGUCAUGUUAGGGGUGACAUAACCAGUGGGACCCAGCAGGGGGCACACUCUGUUCACUGGUUGACAAACCUCUUUUGUGGCCCAAACCCUGCUUUUGUUUCUCAUGGGAAUUAUAGCCAGAAUGAGGAGUUUGCUUUUCUAUGAUUUAAAAAAAAAAAUCUUGGUGUAUAAAACAAAUCAAUUAUAAGAACUAUUUGAGCAUGUUGGCUCUAGUGAAAGCUUUGGGAGGAGGAGGCAUGGUGACACUACAGCAUUGAUGGAUCCGGCCCCAGGUAUGCUUCUAAGUGUUUUGGGCAAGUCACCUCUUUUUGCCUGCGGUUUCCAGUGGAUGUUUUUUCAAGGGUAUUUUGUAGGAUCUUAUUCCCAGUCAGUUAUGUCCUUUCCCUAAUUUCUGUCUACAACAUUCCUUUAUAUCGAGAUCUGUUUAGAAAGCAGGACAAUCCAGGUCUGUUCCAAUUUCGAGUUGAUUCAGGAGUCUCUUCUUGGUUUCUCAGACAUAAAUGAUACAGGAAGCUCUGGGAUCAUUUCCUUGGCUCUCUGGAGUGCAAAAUUAUUUGCCUUGGGGGAACCUGCUUGCUCUUCUACCCACCUAGAGACGUCUGGUGUGAAGAGUCCUGCCCCUCAAUCUGCUGGACUGAGGUGGUGGGGGAAACACUGAGGAGGGCCAGUGGACGAAGACAAGGGCAUCACGUGUGUCCAUGCGUUCAUCCAUCUGUCCUUCCUCUACCCAACACACGUGAGUGUGGCAGCCAGUGGUCUAGGCCUGGGGGUAAAGCAGUAGCAUAACAGACACCCAGAUGAUCUAGGCACAUGUAGAAAGAGGUGCUGCUGGAGGAUCGGGCCAGCUGGAUGGGAGAUCAGGAGUCCCACUUAGAUGGGGCAGUGGAGAAGGCUGCUCAGAAGGUGGCAUUGAGCUGCUAUGAUGGCAGGGAGAAGGUAAGUGGUUCCGCGAGCCCAUCUGUGUUCUAAGAGCAAUGUAUGGGAGGUGAAGAGAGCCACUGGGCCUUUCUGUCUGCACUUUUCCCCACAUGAUUUGUGUCACAACCAGGUAUCAGGGCCCCUUGGGUUGACAGGCGUGCACUACUGCACUUAAUGGUUUGCACUGCCACGGAAUUUAACUUUUUAACUAUUGUUUAUCAAGCACAUGCCAGCCUGUAUGCCAAGCACUUUGUAUACUUCACAUACUCCCCCACCUUUAGGGGGGUUGUUGUCCCCCUUUCACAGGGGGAGGAGCUGAACUGGGAGAGGUUAGAAGAUGGACUCGAGACCCGGCAGCUUGUGAGUGGUGAUGGUGUGAUUUGUACUCGGUGUGUCUGCUGGCAGAACCCCAGUCCCCUGGUCUCUGAGGUACGGAGACACCAUCAGUGUAAGCAGAGUGCAUUGCUUGUGGAGCCAGCUUUUUGGCUCUCUCUUACAAUUAGCAAAUGUCUGAAGCCUUGAGCUUGUGAGCUGUGAGCUGGUCCAGAAGCACCCAUGUGCUUCUAGGUACAUCUCUAAGCACCCUUUCCCAAGCCUGCUUUGUAAAAAUCUGGGAAUGCCACCAAGACUGAGAUCAUGACCUGAGCCAAAAUCAAAAGUUGGACAUUUAACCAACUGAGCCACCCAGGCGCCCCUAGCAUUCCCUCUUCUGUUCUCCCAACUUCAGCCCUAACACUUGCCUGGUGGGAGCACAUUUGUUAAAGUACACACCUGUUUUCAAAAGCUGGUCCUGUUUACAAGCCUUUUUUUUCCUCUUUCAGUAGAAGAAUCCUGCUUUUCAAGUGUAAUUUAUGUGGAGUCCAAUAUAUGGAACAAAUAAAAAGCUGUUUGAAGGAGGGGAUGAGCACAUGGCUCGUGAUGGGUCUGGGAGCAACAGUCUAAAUACCACUGACCUGGUCUACAGUGUGCUUCUAGGAGGCCGAAGUGGGAUGGUUUCAUGGAACUCUGCUCUGCUACAGCCCUUGCUAAAUGCCUGUUAACCAGAGCUGAGGACUGACCAGCCAAGCAUGCCAGGCGACACAUCCGUCAAUGGCCCCGUAUGAUGAGUGACCCCUGCUGCUGCUGGCUGAGGACUGCAGGCCGCCACCGUUCAGGGCCUCUGGAGACGUCACCUGGAGCCCACCAAGCCGUCACUGCUGCACUCACUCUGCAAGGGAUCAGGACCAGCAACCUUUAUAUUCUAGAUUCUAAGACAUUGUACAGAGAAAUCCAGAAGUGUAAAAAUAUUGCACAUUGACAAAUACCAAGAAUUUUUGCGUAUGUUUAUAUUGUAUUGUUCUAAAUAAUGGGUAGCCUGUGAAAUAAGAUCGUGCCACCCAUGUAAUAAUAGUAGUAAUACUAUAGUUAAAAUGGCUGUAAGAAUAGUUUUAUAAAAGUGAAUACACAGAUCUAUUGUAUUUGAAACAUAACUAUUUGACAAUUAUUAGUGUGACCAAAGUAUUAGGCAGUUUUCAUACAUUUUUCACCUUGUACAAAAUUCUGAAUUCAUUUCUCUUCCAGGCUGGCAAGGAGAUGUGGGGUUGAAAUGCCCUCUAAGUGUUAUUUUGGUUGUUCUAACUUACAAACGUGAUUUUGAAUAAGAAAUAUUUGGUGUUCUUUUUAUAACCAGUUUUUGAUUGGUAACUGUUUUCUGUAUUGUUUUAAACGGAUCAAAAAAUGUAAGUCUAUUGGUAGAGAUUAAGUAUUUAUUGCUACAACUUAGUUGAUAAAUUGAUGUUAUUGUAAAGCCAUAUGUUCUGUUAAAGUCUUGUUUGCUUGAAAUGGUUAUUCCUACAGGUGAAACACUAGACUAUUUGGAGUGUACAUGGCUUGUGGUUUGAGUUCUUUUGUUUUUCGUUUUUGUUUUUGUUUUUUGUUUUGUUUUGGUAGUUCCUCUGCCUUUUAACCCAUUCACCAAAAUUUACCUUGUUAACAAGCAUCACCAAUGAACAUUUCUGAGCAAUUUGCAUAUUUAACAAGCCUAAACCAUAUCAGGCAGGCCAGUUGAAGAAUGCUCGUGCUACGGAUGGAUUAGAGCACGUUCAUUUUACAGGCUAGUGUUUCCAACUAGAAAUCAGAACCUGGCACCUAAGCAUGGUAAUUGUGCUCCUGUACCUUGUGAGGUUUCCACUCGUAACUCCUAAACCAGUGUAUUUUUUUUAGAACUGGUUUGUGUAUAUAUAUAGUGAUUAUGGAUACUAAUUCAAUGUAAUUUAUAAUUUUCUAUGUCAAUAUAAAAAUACAUCACAGCCUUCUCAAACAGCUGAAGCAAUAUAUCAUAUAUUGCCAUAUCGUCUGGGGAAAGGGUUAAAUUUCUUCACCUCUUGCACUUUUAGAUGCAGAUCAGGUUUUCAUUUCUGUAAUAGACAACUAUUCACGUAUUUUUACAUCAUUUGUUUGUCCUGACCAGUAUUUAAAACCAAAAGGAUAUUCUGAAUAAUGGCCAACGAUUUUUUUAGAACUAGCAUCCCAAGCAGCGUGCCUAAACAUUACAUUGCAUAUGGAAAUAAAAAAAAAAAUCAAAUGUUUAAUGCCUUAUUUCUUAUUUACUUUUUCACUGUAAAUGGUGUAGAAAUUCUGUGUGAGGCUUACCAGGGCAGACCUGUCAAGGACAGUAGAGACUGUGGCGUGCCCUGGGACGGACAGCAAGGGUGCCUUACUUGGCCUUUGCACGCCUCCUCAGGAACCCUUUCUGUUGUGAGCUCCUCUCAGAAGAGACUGUCCUCAUGCAUUCUCCUCUGGAACCUAGCGCCACCAGAGGACAGGGCUCCUUUCACUUGUCUCAAGAAUGCUGACUUCCAUGGCGCCGGACCUCGGGGACCGCUGACAGAUGGUACACUAUUGUCUUGCCUGGUGAAGAGCCUUGCUGGCCACCUCCAGGGCUUGGCUCCAGGGAUGGCACUGCUGCCUCCACAGUUUGGAUUUGGUUGGCUUUUCCAUCCCAUCUAAGGUAACAGCAUCUUGUUGCAUCCCACCUACCACUGAUGCCAGGGCACUUGAUGUUUUUCUUUGGAGUAGUGUUUUGUUUAGUUUGUCUUACAUGGGAGGGAAAAGACAUAAGAAUGAAAAGAAAGUCUGUUGGGGGUGCCAGCCCAAGGGCCAGGAGCAAGUACACUCUCAUUUAGUCUCUAGUUUCUGUGUAUUGGCCUCAUUGAAUUGCGAGGCUAACAGAUGUCUACAAUACAGUUACCUGUAUUAAAAAUAACUACAACAAAAAUAAAGUCUAAUUUUUUUGUUUCUAGAAA